AGAACGAACGCUGGCGGCAUGCCUAAUACAUGCAAGUCGAACGAACUCUUCGGAGUUAGUGGCGCACGGGUGCGUAACGCGUGGGAAUCUGCCCCUUGGUUCGGAAUAACAGUUGGAAACGACUGCUAAUACCGGAUGAUGACGAAAGUCCAAAGAUUUAUCGCCAAGGGAUGAGCCCGCGUAGGAUUAGCUAGUUGGUGAGGUAAAGGCUCACCAAGGCAACGAUCCUUAGCUGGUCUGAGAGGAUGAUCAGCCACACGUGGGACUGAGACACGGCCCAGACUCCGUACGGGAGCAGCAGUAGGGAAUAGUUGGAC
rnacentral:rRNA from 1 species